GAUGAACGCUGGCGGCGUGCCUAAUACAUGCAAGUCGAGCGAACAGACGAGGAGCUUGCUCCUCUGACGUUAGCGGCGGACGGGUGAGUAACACGUGGAUAACCUACCUAUAAGACUGGGAUAACUUCGGGAAACCGGAGCUAAUACCGGAUAAUAUAUUGAACCGCAUGGUUCAAUAGUGAAAGACGGUUUUGCUGUCACUGAUAGAUGGAUCCGCGCCGCAUUAGCUAGUUGGUAAGGUAACGGCUUACCAAGGCGACGAUGCGUAGCCGACCUGAGAGGGUGAUCGGCCACACUGGAACUGAGACACGGUCCAGACUCCUACGGGAGGCAGCAGUAGGGAAUCUUCCGCAAUGGGCGAAAGCCUGACGGAGCAACGCCGCGUGAGUGAUGAAGGUCUUCGGAUCGUAAAACUCUGUUAUUAGGGAAGAACAAAUGUGUAAGUAACUAUGCACGUCUUGACGGUACCUAAUCAGAAAGCCACGGCUAACUACGUG
rnacentral:rRNA from 1 species